GGAAAUGUAGUCAAUAAUGACAUAUGAGUUGCAUUCAUAAAGUGUUUAUAAACCUUUUUCA
rnacentral:tRNA from 1 species